GUGUCAGCAGCCGCGGUAAUACGUAGGGGGCGAACGUUGCUCGGAAUUACUGGGCGUAAAGGGUGUGUAGGUGGCUGAGCAAGUCGAAGAUGAAAUCCCAGGGCUCAACCCUGGAAUUGUCUUUGAUACUGUUCAGCUUGAGGGUGGUCGAGGAAGACGGAAUUCCCGGUGGAGCGGUGAAAUGCGUAGAUAUCGGGAGGAACACCGGAGGCGAAGGCGGUCUUCUGGGCCACUCCUGACACUGAGGCACGAAAGCUAGGGGAGCGAACGGGAUUAGAUACCCCGGUAGUCCUAGCCGUAAACGAUGGGCACUAGAUGUUCCCACAUUUUGUGGGAGUGUCGAAGCUAACGCGUUAAGUGCACCGCCUGGGGAGUAUGCCGGCAACGGUGAAACUCAAAUGAAUUGGCGGGG
rnacentral:rRNA from 1 species